rnacentral:rRNA from 1 species
AUUGAACGCUGGCGGAAUGCUUUACACAUGCAAGUCGAACGGUAGAGGGGGCAACCCCUCGAGAGUGGCGAACGGGUGAGUAAUAUAUCGGAACGUGCCCAGUCGUGGGGGAUAACGUAGCGAAAGUUACGCUAAUACCGCAUACGAUCUACGGAUGAAAGCGGGGGAUCGCAAGACCUCGCGCGAUUGGAGCGGCCGAUAUCAGAUUAGGUAGUUGGUGGGGUAAAGGCUCACCAAGCCAACGAUCUGUAGCUGGUCUGAGAGGACGACCAGCCACACUGGAACUGAGACACGGUCCAGACUCCUACGGGAGGCAGCAGUGGGGAAUUUUGGACAAUGGACGCAAGUCUGAUCCAGCCAUUCCGCGUGCAGGAUGAAGGCCCUCGGGUUGUAAACUGCUUUGUACGGACGAAAAGGUCUCUCUUAAUACGAGGGCUCAUGACGGUACCGUAAGGAAUAAGCACCGGCUAACUACGUGCCAGCAGCCG